CCAAGCUUACUUUCUUCCCCUCAAUUCUCACUCUCUACAUUGGCUACAAAUCUUGAUCUACUAUUAGGUAAAUUGUCAACUCUUCUCAUCAAGGAUUUCCUGGGCUAAAGUAUCAAGAAAAUAAAAUGAACUAUAGCAACGAGAGGCAUGCAAUGCUUGACUUGAAGCUGAACUUAUCACCACCAAGGGCAAUUUUUGCAAGAGGAGUUUCACCUUCACCAAGCAGAUCAUCAUCAUCUUCUUCUUCUUCAAUGGAGAGAUCAUCACCAGCAGCCAGCUCAUGUGUUUCUCGAGAACCGAGCCCCGACGAUCAGUUUAUCGGUUACCCUAGCAGCCCAGAGACAACUUCCAUGAUGCUUGUGGGAUGCCCUAGAUGUUUAAUGUAUGUUAUGUUAUCAGUGCAUGAGCCAAAAUGCCUUAAAUGCAAGAGUACUGUUUUGCUUGAUUUUUUCCAUGAGGAAAGAAUCAAGAACUCCAAGGGAUGAACUCAAGAAACAAUAUUAUUUUCGUUGCCUUAAGUCUUAAUUUAGGUUUUAGUUUUGAUAUUCUCCAUAUCAAUUUUUUUUUUUUUUUUGGGGUUUUAAUUUGUUAGGGGACUGUUUUCGAAAGAUGCUUUUGAUUGUGUGGAAUUUCGUAUUACUUUUUUUUGCAGCCAAUUGAGACCUAGUACUAUAUAUGGUUGGUCCUUCAUAUUAAAA